GCGUGAGUGAAGAAGGCCUUCGGGUUGUAAAGCUCUUUUGGCGGGGACGAUGAUGACGGUACCCGCAGAAUAAGCCCCGGCUAACUUCGUGCCAGCAGCCGCGGUAAGACGAAGGGGGCUAGCGUUGUUCGGAAUUACUGGGCGUAAAGGGCGCGUAGGCGGUCUUGUCAGUCAGGCGUGAAAGCCCUGGGCUCAACCUGGGAGGUGCGCUUGAUACUGCAAGGCUUGAGUGCAGGAGAGGAUGGUGGAAUUCCCAGUGUAGAGGUGAAAUUCGU
rnacentral:rRNA from 1 species